rnacentral:rRNA from 10 species
UUAAAUUGAAGAGUUUGAUCAUGGCUCAGAUUGAACGCUGGCGGCAGGCCUAACACAUGCAAGUCGAACGGUAACAGGAAGCAGCUUGCUGCUUUGCUGACGAGUGGCGGACGGGUGAGUAAUGUCUGGGAAACUGCCUGAUGGAGGGGGAUAACUACUGGAAACGGUGGCUAAUACCGCAUAACGUCGCAAGACCAAAGAGGGGGACCUUCGGGCCUCUUGCCAUCAGAUGUGCCCAGAUGGGAUUAGCUUGUUGGUGAGGUAACGGCUCACCAAGGCGACGAUCCCUAGCUGGUCUGAGAGGAUGACCAGCCACACUGGAACUGAGACACGGUCCAGACUCCUACGGGAGGCAGCAGUGGGGAAUAUUGCACAAUGGGCGCAAGCCUGAUGCAGCCAUGCCGCGUGUAUGAAGAAGGCCUUCGGGUUGUAAAGUACUUUCAGCGGGGAGGAAGGUGUUGCGGUUAAUAACCGCAGCAAUUGACGUUACCCGCAGAAGAAGCACCGGCUAACUCCGUGCCAGCAGCCGCGGUAAUACGGAGGGUGCAAGCGUUAAUCGGAAUUACUGGGCGUAAAGCGCACGCAGGCGGUCUGUCAAGUCGGAUGUGAAAUCCCCGGGCUCAACCUGGGAACUGCAUUCGAAACUGGCAGGCUUGAGUCUUGUAGAGGGGGGUAGAAUUCCAGGUGUAGCGGUGAAAUGCGUAGAGAUCUGGAGGAAUACCGGUGGCGAAGGCGGCCCCCUGGACAAAGACUGACGCUCAGGUGCGAAAGCGUGGGGAGCAAACAGGAUUAGAUACCCUGGUAGUCCACGCCGUAAACGAUGUCUACUUGGAGGUUGUGCCCUUGAGGCGUGGCUUCCGGAGCUAACGCGUUAAGUAGACCGCCUGGGGAGUACGGCCGCAAGGUUAAAACUCAAAUGAAUUGACGGGGGCCCGCACAAGCGGUGGAGCAUGUGGUUUAAUUCGAUGCAACGCGAAGAACCUUACCUGGUCUUGACAUCCACAGAACUUUCCAGAGAUGGAUUGGUGCCUUCGGGAACUGUGAGACAGGUGCUGCAUGGCUGUCGUCAGCUCGUGUUGUGAAAUGUUGGGUUAAGUCCCGCAACGAGCGCAACCCUUAUCCUUUGUUGCCAGCGAUUAGGUCGGGAACUCAAAGGAGACUGCCAGUGAUAAACUGGAGGAAGGUGGGGAUGACGUCAAGUCAUCAUGGCCCUUACGACCAGGGCUACACACGUGCUACAAUGGCGCAUACAAAGAGAAGCGACCUCGCGAGAGCAAGCGGACCUCAUAAAGUGCGUCGUAGUCCGGAUUGGAGUCUGCAACUCGACUCCAUGAAGUCGGAAUCGCUAGUAAUCGUGGAUCAGAAUGCCACGGUGAAUACGUUCCCGGGCCUUGUACACACCGCCCGUCACACCAUGGGAGUGGGUUGCAAAAGAAGUAGGUAGCUUAACCUUCGGGAGGGCGCUUACCACUUUGUGAUUCAUGACUGGGGUGAAGUCGUAACAAGGUAACCGUAGGGGAACCUGCGGUUGGAUCACCUCCUUACCUUAAAGAAGC